rnacentral:rRNA from 1 species
UGCUGGAGGUAUCAGAAGUGCGAAUGCUGACAUAAGUAACGAUAAAGCGGGUGAAAAGCCCGCUCGCCGGAAGACCAAGGGUUCCUGUCCAACGUUAAUCGGGGCAGGGUGAGUCGACCCCUAAGGCGAGGCCGAAAGGCGUAGUCGAUGGGAAACGGGUUAAUAUUCCCGUACUUGGUGUUACUGCGAAGGGGGGACGGAGAAGGCUAUGUUGGCCGGGCGACGGUUGUCCCGGUUUAAGCGUGUAGGCUGGUUUUCCAGGCAAAUCCGGAAAAUCAAGGCUGAGGCGUGA